AAAAGGUUAAUACAAACUAUAGUAUAAUUGAUUUCGAAUCAAUAAAUGUUAAUAAAUCAACACCUUUUU
rnacentral:tRNA from 1 species